CGUAGGGUCCGAGCGUUGUCCGGAAUUAUUGGGCGUAAAGGGCUCGUAGGCGGUUUGUCGCGUCGGGAGUGAAAACUCAGGGCUCAACCCUGAGCGUGCUUCCGAUACGGGCAGACUAGAGGUAUGCAGGGGAGAACGGAAUUCCUGGUGUAGCGGUGGAAUGCGCAGAUAUCAGGAGGAACACCGGUGGCGAAGGCGGUUCUCUGGGCAUGACCUGACGCUGAGGAGCGAAAGCAUGGGGAGCGAACAGGAUUAGAUACCCUGGUAGUCCAUGCCGCAAACGUUGGGCGCUAGGUGUGGGGACCUUCCAAGGUCUCCGUGCCGCAGCUAACGCAUUAAGCGCCCCGCCUGGGGAGUACGGCCGCAAGGCUAA
rnacentral:rRNA from 1 species